CAUCUAGGCGGUCAAUCAAGUCGAAGGUGAAAACUUGUGGCUCAACCAUAAGCUUGCCUACGAAACUGAUUAACUAGAGUGCUGGAGAGGUGGACGGAACUACACGAGUAGAGGUGAAAUUCGUAGAUAUGUGUAGGAAUGCCGAUGAUGAAGAUAGUUCACUGGACAGAAACUGACGCUGAAGUGCGAAAGCUAGGGGAGCAAACA
rnacentral:rRNA from 1 species